AUUGAACGCUGGCGGCAGGCCUAACCCAUGCAAGUCGAGCGAGCGGCGGACGGGUGAGUAAUGUCUGGGAAACUGCCUGAUGGAGGGGGAUAACUACUGGAAACGGUAGCUAAUACCGCAUACCAUCGGAUGUGCCCAGAUGGGAUUAGCUUGUAGGUGAGGUAACGGCUCACCUAGGCGACGAUCCCUAGCUGGUCUGAGCGGAUGACCAGCCCGACUGGAACUGAGACACGGUCCAGAGUCCUACGGGAGGCAGCAGUGGGGAAUAUUGCACGAUGGGCGCAAGCCUGAUGCAGCCAUGCCGCGUGUAUGAAGAAGGCCUUCGGGUUGUAAAGUACUUUCAGCGGGGAGGCGUUACCCGCAGAAGAAGCACCGGCUAACUCCGUGCCAGCAGCCGCGGUAAUUC
rnacentral:rRNA from 1 species